GUCUUUUUGAUUAAUAAUUUAAAGUUUAAUCUGCCCCCUGAUUAAAAAUUAAAGGGCUGCAGUAUAUUGACUGUACAAAGGUAGCAUAAUCAUUAGUCUUUUAAUUGAAGACUUGUAUGAAAGAUUUGAUGAAAUAUAAACUGUCUCUAAAUUAUAUAUUGAAAUUAAUUUUUUAAUUAAAAAGUUAAAAUAAUUUAAAAAGACGAGAAGACCCUAUAGAGUUUUAUAAUUAUAAUUUUUUUUUAUUAUUUAUAUAAAAAUUGAAUUAAAAGAAUUAUAAUUAUUUUAUUGGGGUGAUAGAAAAAUUAAAAGAACUUUUUUUAAAAUAANNNCAUUAAUAAGUGAAUAAAUGAUCCAUAAUUUAUGAUUAAAAGAAAAAAUUACCUUAGGGAUAACAGCGUAAUUUUUUUUUUUAGUACAAAUAAAAAAAAAAGGUUGCGACCUCGAUGUUGGAUUAAGAUAAAAUUUAAAUGCAAAAGUUUAAAAUUUUGAUCUGUUCGAUCAUUAAAAUCUUACAU
rnacentral:rRNA from 1 species